rnacentral:rRNA from 1 species
GACGUAGGAGGCGAGCGUUGUCCGGAUUCAUUGGGCGUAAAGAGCACGCAGGCGGUUUGGCAAGUCGGAUGUGAAAACCCGAAGCUCAACUUCGGGCCUGCAUCCGAAACUGCCCGACUAGAGGUAGGUAGGGGAGAUCGGAAUUCCUGGUGUAGCGGUGAAAUGCGCAGAUAUCAGGAGGAACACCGGUGGCGAAGGCGGAUCUC